rnacentral:rRNA from 1 species
CCCUUAGAUGUUUGGGGCCGCACGCGCGCUACACUGAAGGACUCAACGUGUGUUUGUCCUGGCUCGGGAGGGCCGGGUAACCCGCUGAACCUCCUUCGUGCUAGGGAUUGGGGCUUGUAAUUCUUCCCCAUGAACGAGGAAUUCCCAGUAAGCGCGAGUCAUCAGCUCGCGUUGAUUACGUCCCUGCCCUUUGUACACACCGCCCGUCGCACCUACCGAUUGAAUGGUCCGGUGAAAUCUCGGGACGGCGGCUUGGUCGCUUGCGUCCGACUGCUGAAACUUGAUUAAACCAUAUCAUUUAGAGGAAGGUGAAGUCGUANCA